rnacentral:rRNA from 1 species
UCAGGCCUAACACAUGCAAGUCGAGCGGUAACAUUUCAAAAGCUUGCUUUUGAAGAUGACGAGCGGCGGACGGGUGAGUAAUGCCUGGGAAUUUGCCCAUUUGUGGGGGAUAACAGUUGGAAACGACUGCUAAUACCGCAUACGCCCUACGGGGGAAAGCAGGGGACCUUCGGGCCUUGCGCUGAUGGAUAAGCCCAGGUGGGAUUAGCUAGUAGGUGAGGUAAUGGCUCACCUAGGCAACGAUCCCUAGCUGGUCUGAGAGGAUGAUCAGCCACACUGGGACUGAGACACGGCCCAGACUCCUACGGGAGGCAGCAGUGGGGAAUAUUGCACAAUGGGGGAAACCCUGAUGCAGCCAUGCCGCGUGUGUGAAGAAGGCCUUCGGGUUGUAAAGCACUUUCAGCGAGGAGGAAAGGGUGUAAGUUAAUACCUUACAUCUGUGACGUUACUCGCAGAAGAAGCACCGGCUAACUCCGUGCCAGCAGCCGCGGUAAUACGGAGGGUGCGAGCGUUAAUCGGAAUUACUGGGCGUAAAGCGUGCGCAGGCGGUUUGUUAAGCGAGAUGUGAAANCCCCGGGCUCAACCUGGGAACCGCAUUUCGAACUGGCNAACUAAANUCUUGUAGAGGGG